CCUACGGGAGGCAGCAGUGAGGAAUAUUGGUCAAUGGGCGAGAGCCUGAACCAGCCAAGUCGCGUGAGGGAGUACUGCCCUAUGGGUUGUAAACCUCUUUUGUCGGGGAGCAAAAGCCUGACGUGUCCGGCUGUGAGAGUACCCGAAGAAAUAGCAUCGGCUAACUCCGUGCCAGCAGCCGCGGUAAUACGGAGGAUGCGAGCGUUAUCCGGAUUUAUUGGGUUUAAAGGGUGCGCAGGCGGAUUUUUAAGUCAGCGGUAAAAUCGUGGGGCUCAACCCCAUCCAGCCGUUGAAACUGGGGAUCUAGAGUGUGCGAGAGGUAUGCGGAAUGCGUGGUGUAGCGGUGAAAUGCAUAGAUAUCACGCAGAACCCCGAUUGCGAAGGCAGCAUACCGGUGCACAACUGACGCUCAGGCACGAAAGCGUGGGUAUCGAACAGGAUUAGAUACCCGAGUAGUC
rnacentral:rRNA from 1 species